CGAAGAUAUCGUCACGUGGGGCGGAGGCGAGAUUUCAGAGUUGACAACUGCUCCAUGCCGAUGGUGGUGUGUGACUAGCUCUGCCAGUAUGGGUACUGUGUGACCUGAACUAUGGCCGAAGCCUCUGAAGAAGACCCUGCCAAUAAGUCCCCAAGCUUCCAUGCAGGACUGGACAGGCAUGAUGCAGGUUUUCCUGCCGAUGCAGGGGGAAGACUGCCCUUUGAACCCUGGACCCAAUUCAGUGGGAUGACCCACCCUGUGUCUCCAUCACAUCUGUACUGGGACAACUUCGGUCAGCCUUCAGACCCUGUGGAUGGACAGUUUGGGCUGUCCACUUCCUCACCGGACUACUUCAGUGCUUACUCGACGUAUAUUCAGGAAUUGGGUCGGUCUGGAGGUCUGCCAGUGUUUGAUGAUGCCAGCAGUCUUGGAAGCGAUUUCCCUGCUUCCCCUCCUUUACCUGAAGACUCUGGCUAUGACACUGCCUCCAAGGAAGGAUAUGACUUGUACACAGAUGCCAUGAAACAGUGGCAGACCGGGGAUAAAUUCAGUGGUACUUACAACCCAUUUGGGACAACUGAUGUCCUCACUCAGGCAAAGGUUCCAGAAGAGAAACCAGAUAUCAACAACAAGCCAAAAACCUACUCUGACGUCGCAAAAACUCUGAAAAGUAAACCUAUGCAGAAACCUAAAGAAGACCUUGACAACUGCUCAAAGAAAAAAGGCCCGGACACACUGCCCAAAUCAUUUAAGCCUGCUGUGAAGAAAUCCUUCCAGACUAGAGGAUUUCCCAGUCGUCAAAGGACAACAUCUGCUGAUGGAAACCAGGGAUCUAUAGUGUUGCCAGAUUCCAAAUAUGGGCUGGACCAGUUCGAGGAUUUGGAUGGCUUCGAGGCCAAAGUGGAGAGGCCCAUAAGCAGUAGUGCAGAGAGCCUGUCUCAUCGCAGUCGGAAAGGAAGCAACAGCAGUGUUAGCAGUGGCACCAGCGGCAUAGAGGAGAUUCAUCUCACCAAGUCCACCAGUAGGGACAGCAUGGAGAAAAACACUUCGGAGAAGCUUAACACUGACCCAGGGAAAGCUUCAAAUGAACAUGUGCCUCCCUCAAAGGACAAAUCAGACCGUGUCUUCUUUGAUCCCAAAAGAAUUUUUCAGAAGAAGGAAAAAGAUACAAAUAAAGUUAAGAACGAUAGUAGACAUUCUGGCACCAGCAAGUCUGCAGGCACUGUGUUGAACAAUGGCAAGCCUCCAAGUGCUAGUAAAACUUCAUGUGUGCCGCCCAAGAAGGCAGACUACAUCAAUAACGACCUGCGGGACUCCAAGAAGCGAACCAAUCACACUGCUGCAAUGAACAGAGAGUCCAGGAGUAAAGGUCACUCUGGGGAGGACCUGUUUCAGAACGGCGUGUCCCCAGAGCGGAAGUCGAGGAAAGAUGCCCCUUCCAGCCAUGACACUGAGUCGCAGAGACACCUUCCUUUUGGUGGCAACAUUGAUUGGGAACUGAUAGAUGAGUGGGUGAGCUACCUAGGUGAGAGGUGUAAAAGUGGCCUUCAUCGAACAGUGUCCAUCUUGCUAACUCUUCUUCUCUAUCUACUCGGGAUCAUCAUGUACUUAGCUUCAGGCAGUGUUCACCUCAUCAGUUUAGCCUGGAGUAAAGCCUGGUGUUUUAUCAAAGCUAAAGUCUUCAAAAAUAACUUUAAACCUGGAACAAUUCCUGGCACUACUGAGACAGCAAAACGACGGACAGGACUAGAAGAAAAUAUAUCACUGCCAAGUACAGGAGAGGAAGCCAUGAGACGACUUCUUGCUUGUAGAGGAAAAGACCCUUAUAGUAUUUUAGGAUUACGCUCUGAUAGCAGUGAUGAAGAUAUCAAAAAGUAUUACCGCCGCCAGGCCGUGCUAGUCCACCCAGAUAAGAAUCAGGAACCUGGUGCUGAAGAAGCCUUCAAGAUAUUAGGUCAUGCCUUUGAGAUGAUACGAGAACCAGCCAAGAGGAAGGUCUAUGAUGCUCAGAUGCAGGAGGCUCACGAGGCUGAGGCUGCAAUGAGAGAAUUCAACGAUCUUCUGACAAAACUUCAUGAAAAGAUACAAGAGGCUGCCAACAUGAUGAGGUGUGAUAACUGUGGGGGCAAACAUAAGCGUAUUCCAGUUGAUCGACCAUGGUACAGCGUUCGAUUCUGUGAUAGAUGUAACAACUUUCAUUCUGCCAAAGAGGGAGAUGUGUGGGCAGAGAAGAAGAUGUUAGGUUUUCUGUGGCACUACUACGCAUGUAUGGAUCAACACGUGUAUGAUAUAACAGAGUGGGUGGCGUGUCAUAAGGAGUUUUUCAAGCAGAUGCAGGCCAACUCUCACCACGUUUUCUACAGGAUAGCUACAGAUGGAAACCGAGGUCAUCGCCAUGGGAAGUCAGGAGAGCAUGAUUUGGAGGAUUUCAUCAACCACUUGUUUCACAAGGCGUCUAUGUCUCCUGAUGGUUCCUCACCAUGGCAACAACAGCAACAACAACAGCAACAACAGUCAAGUCAGCAGCCUCAGACGUCAUCGGCAUGGGGAGCAGGGUCAUCAUCGACGUCAGCUGCAGGGGGAAAACGAGCGCGGAGGAAGAAGAAACGUCACUAAAGUUAUGUCUGGUCUUGACACCAAUGCUAUAGUUGUGGAAAUCGGUGUUCAGUUUGCCAGUGGGCGACACAUGUUCUGUGGGACACUGAGUGUUGGUCUCUGACUCUGUCAUUCUUAGCAGAUGAUGUGGUGGAGAGGCUUGUCUCAGUUGAAUGUCCUCAGUUGAAAGUCAGGGCUCAUCUGGGUAAGAGAAGGAUACAUUUACUAUUUAGCAAUUUGAUUAAGCUCCAAUUCCACAAAAGACAGUGUUGUCUUAGCUAAGCACUGGUGAUACAAGAGUUUUAUGCUAGAAUUAUUUUGUGGAAGAUAGCUUUGGGCAUGCGUGAUGGUGUCAAUAAAAUUCUACUGCAUCCCUGCAUUGGACACACUCAAUUUUCUCAGUUGUUACGCCUGUACAUCGGUGCAUUCUUAGUUGCCAAGCAAGUCUAUGAACACAGGUGAAUCUAUGCAUUGGUCACUUAAGUUGUUCCCAGUUCUGUCAGUGGGCUGUGGUGUCUCCCUGCACUGGUGAAGAUGGGUCCUAGGGUCAGAGUAAUUCAGUGGGCUGUGGAGUAUCUUCCUCUGAAAUGAAUUGGUCUUUUAGCAUUUUCGCUUGUCAGAAAUCAACUGUGGAAACCCUUAACCUCCUCCUCCUUGUUGUUUUGAUAUUCUUCAUCUUUUGGCAUGACAUGGUCUGCGAGGAAUUGAUAACUAUGUGUUAGAUGUCAGGAAUCCCUCGCUAAAGUCUUCUGGUGUGGGAAACCAGUGGUCUCUGCUCAAUCCUGGCAGUUCCUCUCUGUAUCCUUGGUAACAAAGCUUCCUGGAAAUUUAUUCGUCCGUUACCCUGAACACUGUCCCAUUUGCACUAAGUAUUGCUUUUCUCAGGCCCUAAUCUAACAGCUCAUCCUCUCCAACAUUACUGCCUUAUCAAUCCAUCCAGACAGAUCAAUUAGAACACAGAGAUGGAAUUUACUGGUACUAUCACUUGAGAUACUUGUGUGUAUAUUAAUCUUUACUGGGUCCUCCUGUUUCCAUGCCAACCUAGCUAUACUAAUGUAUGCAUUAAUGUACAGUAUCAUGCAUAGAGAUGUGGGAGAAGCUGUCAGCUGAUACUGUGCAUGUCUGUCAAGAAGGGUGUGUUGUGUGAAUGUUAUACUGUAUGAGAGUGAACAUAUAGCUCUAUUUUUGUCGCUGUGUGAUGACCUAUACUUGUACAUAGCAACUGGCCAAUUUCAUGAGAACCAGUCACUUUCCUUGUCCAGGGCCUGUGAACUUGUCAGUGGAGCCCCUAACAUGGAUGUAAUUCUCAUGAAACUCUGGCUGACAUCUUCCUCUGAGUCUGUGGCUUUGUUACCAUGGUAACAAUGUCUUUGGACAAAACAUGCACAAGUCUUCUCGGUCCGCUCAACUUUUGGAAUCUUUAGAAUAUUUUCACUUGAAAGUGUUUGAAAUUGUCAUUGUUGCUGGUGGGAGAUAGGUGGUACAUUUGUUUGCAAUAAGAAAGUAGCUUCACUUGUAGCUACAUCGUCAUACAAGCAAAGUAUUGCUUGCAUGGCAUUAUUUUCAGUUUUGAAGUGAACCGUAGAAAGUGUAUGUUAUUGGACUUGAGUGUGGGGCACUUCCUAGCCCUUGAAUCAGAAUGUUUGUACUUACGGUAAAUAUAAGCACACAUGGAAGUGUUAGUGAUAAAUAGUCAGGUAGAUUGACAUUCAGAUAUGCCUUAUUGUGUCAUCUUAUUGUUACUUAAUUUAUUUGACCCAACUCAUGAUGAUCAGGAUGAAGAUGACAUCUGAGUUGCACCAUCUUGCUUGUCAGCAGCUUUGUAACGUAAGCAUGGCACAUUGUCAACAGUUUUUGUUCAGUUAAAGGAUGCAUGUGUGAGAUGGCAAGUGUACAACCUUGGUCUGUGUCCAUCCAUUUGGCCAGCAUAUUGUAUAUUUAGGAGUUUAUUUUUGUAUAAUUAUUGUCACUGUCUAAAUAGAUUCUGUGUGGGACUUUUUGCUGUAUCAUGUAACAUAUAGCACAUCACCAAGUUCAGUCACUGUGAAAUCACUUAAGGAUAUCCUAACCUUUGAAAAAGUAUGUUAAUUAUCAUUGUUUAUGCAUUGAAAAUGGCUUUGAAUGAAGGUUUAUAGCUUUAUGUGAUGUUCAUCUUGAACUGACUAUGGGCAAUAACUUAUUAUGUCUAAUUAUUGUGGUUGGUAUUCACAAUUGAGACCUAGAACUGAAAGUUUGACAACUAUGCUUCUCUAAUAUUCAAAUUUCAGCCGUGAUACUGUUCAACCCCGAACCCCGCCUUUUUCUUUUUUUUGUCCCCAAUGUCUGUUCAUGUACAGGUUUGAUCUAUAUCUGUCUAUCACUUCCAUUUCAUUAUUUUCAGUAUUCAUCAUGAAUAGAUUGUGAUAUUGUAGCAUAAUAACUGAUGUACACGUUUUUUGUCGUCUCCUGGUUUAACAGCUAUCAACAUGUUGGUUUCACAACAGUUUGGAAGAAUAAUGGCCUAUCAUGCAGUCAUCUUUGAAAUUAUUAAAUAAAUUUUCCUAUUGGACAAACCGUCUGCAGUAACAUUAAUUUUAGGACAAUAAUUGUUUCAAAUUCUCAGAUUUAUCAUUCAGUAAAUGAAUUGUGAUUCAAGAGUAUUGGGAUUAACCCAAUGAAUGUUUUAUUAGAUUGUAUUUUGGAAUAAUUUGAUUGGGUAUGUGUCUUUACCAAUAAAAAUAAAUUUCCUACUUUUGGGAGGUUGAUAUGCUUUUGAGUUUAUUCAGGGAUAUAUUUCUGUCUGUUUGUGAUUUCCUUUCAGGCAGCUUAUUGAGCACAGUGGGAACCUCCCUUAUUCUAUGCAAUUAGCACUGCAAUAGGGUGGAGCCUUGUCAGUUCUCUUGUCAGUCAUUCAAUGCCCCUUGUCACUGAGAAGGGUCAUCACUACCAAUAGUCCAGCAGCUUCUUACUACUGCAGUAGGUGGGGGUAUAUGUGUGACGGGUGAGAUGAUGCUUGGUUACGUGUCUUGCUAAGUGUUGAGUAAGAUAAUGAAAAUUUUAAAAUGCUUCUCAUCGUGCCAUUUGUUUACAACAUGUUGUUUGAAUGAUUCUGUUUCACAUCAUUUUGUGUAAGAAUUAAGAUGGUUUAGAUUUCAUUAGAAGACCUGUCUUUCCUUGCCUUAAGUAUCAUGCCAUGUUUGCUGACAUGUUUGAAAUAGUUUUCUGCCUUCUAAUAAAGAAGUCCGGUGCAGGUUAUUGGAAAUAGGAUUCUGGAUUUGUUGAUGAUAAGCAUUUUUUUCAAGGCCUGAAUCAUCUGAAAAAUUAAAAGUAUCUGAUUGCUAAUUUCACCGAGUAUGGUCAAUAGGCAGAAUGCAUAAUGAAAAAGUGAAUUUUCUUUGUAAAUGAGAAUAAUUAUGAUAUUUGUUACUCUCCGAUGUGCUUUGUCACAAUCGUCUCCUUUCUGUUCACCAUUUUCUUUCAUUUGGUAGAUGUCUUUCAUUUAUGUACGCAUCAUACUCUGACAUAUAUCAACCCAAUAUUAUGUUAGUGUUCACUGAGUGACUGUUACACUGACAUUACUUCAUCUUGUAGUCACAUGGUUACGAUUUAUUCCACUUUAUUGGUGAAUGGUUGGUUAUUUAUUGUGUCAUUGUGAGAGGAGUUACCUUGUAACACUGUUUUAGCAGUCUGGAAUUGUUUCAUUCCUUGAAUGGCGUUGCAUUUAAGAUUCCAACAGUUGUUAUGUGGAAAUGUUACAAGACUGGCCACGUCAUGCUAUUGGGUGAGAAAAUGUGGCGGCUGUAGGGUUGUGAUAGUCUGCAGCUUCUUGGUCUACAUUAUAACUUAGUACAGUACAUUACCUUCCAUGAUCAGAAAUAUUUUUUAGUCCAAAUGUUUUUGUGGGUUUUUUUACCAAAAAAAUUACACUUCUAACCUUUUAACCCUGAAUAAUCAAACAAUAAUUCAUAGUUUUUUGUUUGUUUGUUUUUCCUCCUUUUUUUUUCGAAACAAGCCAUCGUUGUCAGUAUAAUAUUUUGACUUAUCCAGUGUGCCAACAUGUAGUUUUCAGUUGCAUUUGAGAAUUUUUUCAUGGAUUUUGUUGUGUUUCUGAACUUAAAGGAUUGUGGAUUUGAAGCAAACAGAAAUUUGAGUGUUGCAUUUAUGUACAAGUGCUGCUGCUCUCAUCAUGUCUGUUGGGUCUAAAGUGGACUCCAAAGAUUAUUCAUCAUUUUGCUUACAUAAUUAGGAGUUGGAUAUAAUAAACUAUUGUUUACUAAUCUAAUGCAACAAUGAUGUAUAAUACUGUGAUUGAGAAAUAUAUAUGAAUAAAUACAUUGGAUAUUUGGC
rnacentral:misc_RNA from 1 species